rnacentral:rRNA from 1 species
UACAGAGGUCCCAAGCGUUGUUCGGAUUCACUGGGCGUAAAGGGUACGUAGGCGGUCGGGUAAGUCUGAUGUGAAAUCUCACAGCUUAACUGUGAAACUGCAUUGGAUACUAUCCGGCUAGAGGAAUGGAGGGGGAGACUGGAAUACUUGGUGUAGCAGUGAAAAUGCGUAGAUAUCAAGUGGAACACCAGUGGCGAAGGCGAGUCUCUGGACAUUUCCUGACGUGAGGCACGAAAGCCAGGGGGAGCAAAACGGGG